UAAAAAGUAUUGUAAAAGAAUUUUAAAAUUUUGAUAGAUUCCUUUUGUAUCAGGAUUUUUUUAUAAAAUUAAUUAUUUUAUAUCUCGAAUUUUUAUGGGCUAAGUAAUGUUUGUUUAAUAAAUUAUUAUUUUAUAUUAGUAAUGAAAUAUUUCGAAUAAAAAUAACUAGUUAGUCUGUUGUUUUGUUAAAAGUAAGUUUUGCUAUUUUUAUAUUUUAAAAAUUAAAAUAGUAAUUAUUUUUUAUAUUAAAUAUAUUAAGAGUUUGUUAUUAAAAAUUUUGGAGUUUGUUGAUAUAAAAUAAAUGGAUUUGAAUAAUAAUUAUGUAAAAAAUAAUUAAAAAAUUAUUAUAAACGUUUUAUUAGAACUAUUAACUUGAUUUGUGUUUGAAUGUUUAACAAAAACAUUUCUUUUAGUUGGGUUAAAAGUAAAGUCUGCCCAGUGAAAUUUAAACGGCUGCGGUAUUUUGACCGUGCAAAGGUAGCAAAAUCAUUUGUUUUUUAAUUGGAAACUGGAAUGAAAGGCUCAACAAACACAUAAUUUUUUAUUUUUAGAUGUUAUAAUUUUUAAUUUACGUAAAAAUACGUAAAUGAAUUUAAGGGACGAUAAGACCCUAAAAGCUUUAUUAUUUAAAUUUUUGUUAUUAUUUAGAUUUUAUUGUUUAAUGUAUUUUAACUGGGGCGGUUGUUUUUUUAACAAAAAUUUUUUUUUACAAAUAGGAUUAAAGAUCCUUAAAAUUAGGAUAGAUUGUUUAAGUUACUUUAGGGAUAACAGCGUUAUAAUAAUAGGGAGACCUUAUUUAUAUUGUUGAUUGCGACCUCGAUGUUGAAUUAAAUUUUUCUAUAUAAAGCAGAAAUUAUAUAUGAAAGUUUGUUCAACUUUUAAAUUUUUACAUGAUUUGAGUUCAAAUCGGUUUAAGCCAGAUUGGUUUCUAUCUUUUUAAAAGAAAUAAAUAUUUUAGUACGAAAGGAUCAAGUAUUUUUUA
rnacentral:rRNA from 1 species